rnacentral:rRNA from 1 species
GCGUUAUCCGGAUUUAUUGGGUUUAAAGGGUGCGUAGGCGGCUUUUUAAGUCAGGGGUGAAAGACGGUAGCUCAACUAUCGCCGUGCCCUUGAUACUGAAGAGCUUGAAUGGACUAGAGGUAGGCGGAAUGUGACAAGGAGCGGUGAAAUGCAUAGAUAUGUCACAGAACACCGAUUGCGAAGGCAGCUUGCUAGGGUUUAAUUGACGCUGAGGCACGAAAGCGUG